CGCACGCCUUGCACCUGGGGAGCCGAUCGCUUCCUUCAGGAUCGCUCUCGGGCACAAAGAGCGUGUUGCAGACCCCAUCUUGACGGCCAUGAGGAGUCCUCAGUUUCCGCUCUCAGGCUGCACUUCUCAAGAAAGCGAAGGUCAGCCUGCACGACAGGUCUUCGUCGCGCAGAUAUUUGAGGAACACGGAAUGUAGAUUCUUACUCAUGUGUUCCUCCAUGAGCCUCGCCUCAGCCCGCCUCACCGUCCCGCCAAGACCGGCCCUCUCCCCUUCCUCAAAGUAUAGGGCCAGCCUCGACCGAUCGGGAACGAGCUGGUGCAGACCUAGUCUCUCGGCCGCCCUUCUGGCUGCUUUGAAGAGAAAUGCCCUCUUAUCCCGAAAUUCGUGUGCUGCUGCAAACUGCAGCAGUGGGUCUUCCCCACGCAGAACACUUUCCGCAAAUCCCAGGACAACCGGUCGUGCAGACACUCGAGACUCAGCAACCCUCGGCCUCCCUGGGCGCGGGGUAAGUAUACCCUUUGCACAGAGGACCUCGGAUGCAGACGCCGGUUCAUGUUAGGGUCUUCCUGGUUGCUCUGUGCAGUUGUUUUAACUCACCGUCGGUCCACCCCACCGGACCGAACCGAAUGAGUAGAGCAGGAAGGGUAUUUCAAGCAUUUUGGUGGCGGCGACUUUAUUGCGGCUGGAUCACCUCCUUUCUA
rnacentral:rRNA from 1 species